rnacentral:rRNA from 1 species
UCCAUAGGUUAAUGAGGCGAACCGGGGGAACUGAAACAUCUAAGUACCCCGAGGAAAAGAAAUCAACCGAGAUUCCCCCAGUAGCGGCGAGCGAACGGGGAGGAGCCCAGAGCCUGAAUCAGCAUGUGUGUUAGUGGAAGCGUCUGGAAAGGCGCGCGAUACAGGGUGACAGCCCCGUACACAAAAGCGCAUGUGCUGUGAGCUCGAUGAGUAGGGCGGGACACGUGGUAUCCUGUCUGAAUAUGGGGGGACCAUCCUCCAAGGCUAAAUACUCCUGACUGACCGAUAGUGAACCAGUACCGUGAGGGAAAGGCGAAAAGAACCCCGGCGAGGGGAGUGAAAAAGAACCUGAAACCGUGUACGUACAAGCAGUGGGAGCCCCACCACCAAAGCAUUU